UACGUAGGGUGCGAGCGUUAAUCGGAAUUACUGGGCGUAAAGCGUGCGCAGGCGGUUUUGUAAGACAGAGGUGAAAUCCCCGGGCUCAACCUGGGAACUGCCUUUGUGACUGCAAGGCUUGAGUGCGGCAGAGGGGGAUGGAAUUCCGCGUGUAGCAGUGAAAUGCGUAAAUAUGCGGAGGAACACCGAUGGCGAAGGCAAUCCCCUGGGCCUGCACUGACGCUCAUGCACGAAAGCGUGGGGAGCAAACAGG
rnacentral:rRNA from 1 species